rnacentral:tRNA from 1 species
GCCAGCGUAGCUCAAUUGGCAGAGCAGCUGAUUUGUAAUCAGCAGGUUAUCGGUUCAAGUCCGAUCGCUGGCUCCA